GAUGAAGAACCCAGCGAAAUGCGAUAAGUAAUGUGAAUUGCAGAAUUCAGUGAAUCAUCGAGUCUUUGAACGCACAUUGCGCCCCCUGGUAUUCCGGGGGGCAUGCCUGUCCGAGCGUCAUUGCUGCCCUCAAGCACGGCUUGUGUGUUGGGCCUCCGUCCUCCUCCCGGGGGACGGGCCCGAAAGGCAGCGGCGGCACCGCGUCCGGUCCUCGAGCGUAUGGGGCUUCGUCACCCGCUCUUGUAGGCCCGGCCGGCGCUUGCCGACACAUCAAUCUUUUUUCCAGGUUGACCUCGGAUCAGGUAGGGAUACCCGCUGAACUUAAGCAUAUCAAUAAGCGGAGGA
rnacentral:misc_RNA from 1 species